GACGAACGCUGGCGGCGUGCUUAACACAUGCAAGUCGAACGGAAAGGCCCUGCUUUUGUGGGUUGCUCGAGUGGCGAACGGGUGAGUAACACGUGAGUAACCUGCCCUUGACUUUGGGAUAACUUCAGGAAACUGGGGCAAAUACCGGAUAGGCGCUCCUGCUGCAUGGUGGGGGUUGGAAAGUUUCGGCGGUUGGGGAUGGACUCGCGGCUUAUCAGCUUGUUGGUGGGGUAGUGGCUUACCAAGGCUUUGACGGGUAGCCGGCCUGAGAGGGUGACCGGCCACAUUGGGACUGAGAUACGGCCCAGACUCCUACGGGAGGCAGCAGUGGGGAAUAUUGCACAAUGGGCGGAAGCCUGAUGCAGCAACGCCGCGUGCGGGAUGACGGCCUUCGGGUUUUAAACCGCUUUCGCCUGUGACGAAGCGUGAGUGACGGUAAUGGGUAAAGAAGCACCGGCUAACUACGUG
rnacentral:rRNA from 1 species